rnacentral:rRNA from 1 species
GUGAGUAACACGUGGGUAACCUGCCCAUCAGAAGGGGAUAACACUUGGAAACAGGUGCUAAUACCGUAUAACACUAUUUUCCGCAUGGAAGAAAGUUGAAAGGCGCUUUUGCGUCACUGAUGGAUGGACCCGCGGUGCAUUAGCUAGUUGGUGAGGUAACGGCUCACCAAGGCAACGAUGCAUAGCCGACCUGAGAGGGUGAUCGGCCACACUGGGACUGAGACACGGCCCAGACUCCUACGGGAGGCAGCAGUAGGGAAUCUUCGGCAAUGGACGAAAGUCUGACCGAGCAACGCCGCGUGAGUGAAGAAGGUUUUCGGAUCGUAAAACUCUGUUGUUAGAGAAGAACAAGGAUGAGAGUAAAAUGUUCAUCCCUUGACGGUAUCUAACCAGAAAGCCACGGCUAACUACGUGCCAGCAGCCGCGGUAAUACGUAGGUGGCAAGCGUUGUCCGGAUUUAUUGGGCGUAAAGCGAGCGCAGGCGGUUUCUUAAGUCUGAUGUGAAAGCCCCCGGCUCAACCGGGGAGGGUCAUUGGAAACUGGGAGACUUGAGUGCAGAAGAGGAGAGUGGAAUUCCAUGUGUAGCGGUGAAAUGCGUAGAUAUAUGGAGGAACACCAGUGGCGAAGGCGGCUCUCUGGUCUGUAACUGACGCUGAGGCUCGAAAGCGUGGGGAGCGAACAGGAUUAGAUACCCUGGUAGUCCACGCCGUAAACGAUGAGUGCUAAGUGUUGGAGGGUUUCCGCCCUUCAGUGCUGCAGCAAACGCAUUAAGCACUCCGCCUGGGGAGUACGACCGCAAGGUUGAAACUCAAAGGAAUUGACGGGGGCCCGCACAAGCGGUGGAGCAUGUGGUUUAAUUCGAAGCAACGCGAAGAACCUUACCAGGUCUUGACAUCCUUUGACCACUCUAGAGAUAGAGCUUCCCCUUCGGGGGCAAAGUGACAGGUGGUGCAUGGUUGUCGUCAGCUCGUGUCGUGAGAUGUUGGGUUAAGUCCCGCAACGAGCGCAACCCUUAUUGUUAGUUGCCAUCAUUUAGUUGGGCACUCUAGCGAGACUGCCGGUGACAAACCGGAGGAAGGUGGGGAUGACGUCAAAUCAUCAUGCCCCUUAUGACCUGGGCUACACACGUGCUACAAUGGGAAGUACAACGAGUUGCGAAGUCGCGAGGCUAAGCUAAUCUCUUAAAGCUUCUCUCAGUUCGGAUUGUAGGCUGCAACUCGCCUACAUGAAGCCGGAAUCGCUAGUAAUCGCGGAUC